AACGAACGCUGGCGGCGUGUUUAAGACAUGCAAGUCGCACGGUGUCAUUUGUGUAGCAAUACUCGAAUGGCAUAGUGGCGCACGGGUGAGUAACACGUGAAUUACAUGCCCUGUAGAGGGGGAUAGCCCAGGGAAACUUGGAUGAAUACCCCAUGGUCUCGCAAGCGUAAAAGGUGGCCGCAAGGCUGUCGCUACAGGAUUGGUUCGCGUCCUAUCAGCUCGUUGGCGGGGUAACGGCCCACCAAGGCUACGAAGGGUACCUGGUCUGAGAGGACGAUCAGGCACACUGGAACUGAGACACGGUCCAGACACCUACGGGUGGCAGCAGUCGAGAAUAAUUCACAAUGGGGGCAACCCUGAUGGUGCAACGCCGCGUGGAGGAUGACGGUCUUCGGAUUGUAAACUCCUGUCAUCCGGGAGUAAGACCUGGCUGUGAAUAGCAGACAGGGUUGAUAGUACCGGAAGAGGAAGGGACGGCUAACUUCGUGCCAGCCGCCGCCGU
rnacentral:rRNA from 1 species